GGGUAUAUUUGAUAUGUCAUUCCUUACUUAGAUCACUUGAAGAGCAUACAGCGUCAUAUAUUUCAAACUAUGAGGGGGAGACAAUUCUUAUUACCUGUGUUACUAUACCAAGUUGUUUUCCUUCAAGAUGUAUUCGGCUAUCCAGGUGAUAAAACCACAAAUAAUAAAAUCGUGGGUGGGCGUUACAUCAGCAUUGAAGAUGUUCCCUUUCAAGCUUUUGUGUUAACAGAUACGAAUACUUGUGGAGGGGUCAUAUAUAGUGAAAAAAUUGUUUUGACUGCCGCACAUUGUCUUGUAGAUUCCAACAUAGCUCAAGUAAGAGUGGGAUUUAACAAUUGGGGUGAUUCGGAAGAAGAAUAUCCAUACAGGAAUGGAACCAUGAUCGUGCAUGAAAAAUAUAACAAUCCUGGAAAGAAUACUAAUUUUGAUUUUGAUGUAGCACUCAUAAAAUUAUUAGAAAAGUUAAUAUUUGAUGGUGUUAGAAUAGCCAAAGCCUCCUUUCCCGAACCAGGAGAGCAGAUUGCUGAUGGUACAAACUGCACUGUGUCUGGAUGGGGCGCUAUAAGCGAAGGCUAUCCAGCCUCUGAGUAUUUAAAGGCAGGAUUUGUUGAAACAGUAAAUUAUGAAAAAUGUUUGAAAUCCUACAAAAAAUAUCUUACACCUAGAAUGAUUUGUGCUCUUUCUCCUUUUCCAUCUUAUAGGUACCGAUUUUCGAAUGUAUGUCGGGGUGAUUCUGGCGGCCCCAUCUUUGUCACUGCUACCAUGAAAGUCAUCGGAUUGACGUCUUUUCUUCGCAAUUGCGAUUCAGAUCAAUCUCCUGCAGUUUUUACCAGCUUAUUGAAUGUUCAAAUUAGGGAAUGGAUAAAAAAUCAUACAAUGAGCAAAAAUUAAACCAUGAAAAAUUUAAGAAACUAUUUCCUAUAUUUAUCAUUUAAUUUUAUACGUAUCUUAAGUGUGUGUGGCAAAAUUAUUUAAAUUAAGAGCUUCGUUUCACAUUGAUCCUUCUUAAAUUUAGAACGCUUAUCUACAAGGAAGAUUUUUUGCAAAGUCACAAGUAUAACUAAUUGUAUUUUUAUGUAUUCCUCUCUGUAUUGCAUAAAUUUACAUACUGUCGGUACAUGCGUUGAUAAAUAUACUUGACAAAUAAAUAAGUAAAUAAACUUUAUACGUUAAAUAUGAACUUGGUACAUUACUUACUGGCUGGUCAAAUAAUUACGUAAGCUAUACAGUUUAUUAUUUUAUUCAAAAUAUAAAACUGAACAUUUAUUGGCUCUCUACUUGUAGGUCACUUUUCCUUUUAUUUCCCGACAUUUAGUGCUGUAAAAGUAUUGACGGUGAUUGCUUCAAAUGAAAGCAAUGGGAAAAAAUUCAAGUUUCUAUAAAUCUAUAAGGAAUGUAAUUAUAAAAUAUCACGAGAUGGUUUUGCUCGUAUCAAAAUAUAGCCGACCAUCUUGCAAUACUAAACAACGAUGACUUUUAGCACGCUGUGAAGCAUUUUGCCACGUAUCAAACAACUUCAAAUGUUCCGCGUGUACCUAAAGAGAGAAAAUUAUAUCGUCGAGAUGAUUGUAAUAUCGUUCGUUGAACAAAUAUCAAACAAAAUCGUUCCAAAGUGCCCAAUGAGCUGAAAAAAGAAUAUUUGAUAAAAACCUUCAGCAAUCUCGGUACGCACUAGUCAAAGGCGUUUGGUAGAUGAAAAGUUGGACGGAAGGAUAGCAAGGAAGGUGUCCAUGUUGAAACCGCGAAAUAAUGUUACCUUGCUAAAGACGUCCUUCCAGUUAUUUGGACAUUCCAGCACGGCAAUUACCCAAACCUUAUUGUACGCAUUGUUAAGAAAUUUCUUACACACACAGUUUCAUUCUUAGAUUGGCCAGAUAACAGCCUAACUAUGAACCCGAUAUAUUUGGCGGAUGUGGAAGAAAAAUAAAUCAUAGCAACUUUUAAGAGCCAUUCGACGUUUUUCUAGAAGAAUAUGUCAAAAAAUUAAUAGAGUCAAUACCUCGCUGUUAUAAAGCAGUAAUUAAAAGCCAUGGACAUUCUACUAGCUAUUAAUCUUAGUUUAAAUGCAAUAAAUAAAUUGUUUAUUUUUCUUCAUGCACUUCAAAUUAAUGUGAUUUAUUCAAUUCAAGUUUUAUAUAAAACAAUUCUCGAGCAGUUUGAUAAAUCGUUCUUAAUUAUUUGUCCAGCUUCAUUACUUUUUGAAUUUGUCAAUAGAGAUAAUAAAAUAAAAAGUGUGUGCAAAAUAAA